rnacentral:rRNA from 1 species
ACGGGUGAGUAAUACAUCGGAACGUGCCCUGUAGUGGGGGAUAACUAGUCGAAAGAUUAGCUAAUACCGCAUACGACCUGAGGGUGAAAGUGGGGGACCGCAAGGCCUCAUGCUAUAGGAGCGGCCGAUGUCUGAUUAGCUAGUUGGUGAGGUAAAGGCUCACCAAGGCGACGAUCAGUAGCUGGUCUGAGAGGACGAUCAGCCACACUGGGACUGAGACACGGCCCAGACUCCUACGGGAGGCAGCAGUGGGGAAUUUUGGACAAUGGGGGCAACCCUGAUCCAGCAAUGCCGCGUGUGUGAAGAAGGCCUUCGGGUUGUAAAGCACUUUUGUCCGGAAAGAAAUCGCACUUACUAAUAUUAGGUGUGGAUGACGGUACCGGAAGAAUAAGGACCGGCUAACUACAUGCCAGCAGCCGCGGUAAUACGUAGGGUCCAAGCGUUAAUCGGAAUUACUGGGCGUAAAGCGUGCGCAGGCGGUUGUGCAAGACCGGUGUGAAAUCCCCGGGCUUAACCUGGGAAUUGCAUUGGUGACUGCACGGCUAGAGUGUGUCAGAGGGGGGUAGAAUUCCACGU